UUCGUUUUCUGGCGAUCAAAUA
rnacentral:miRNA from 15 species